rnacentral:rRNA from 1 species
CUAUACAUGACUCUGCGCAUAUCAAUAAGCGGAGGAAAAGAAACUAACAAGGAUUCCCCUAGUAACGGCGAGUGAAGCGGGAAGAGCUCAAAUUUGAAAUCUUAAAGGGUUUCCCUUUACGAAUUGUAGUUUAAAGAAGUGUUUUCUGUUGAGGUUUUGGUAAAAGUUCUUUGGAAUAGGACAUCAUAGAGGGUGAGAAUCCCGUAUUUGACCUUUACUUUCAACUUUGUGAUACACUUUCAAAGAGUCGGAUUGUUUGGGAAUGCAGUCCAAAAUGGGUGGUAAAUUUCAUCUAAAGCUAAAUAUUGGCGAGAGACCGAUAGCGAACAAGUACCGUGAGGGAAAGAUGAAAAGAACUUUGAAAAGAGAGUUAAACAGUACGUGAAAUUGUCAAAAGGGAAGCGUUUGACACCAGUGUUGUUUUUCUGAAAAUCAAUUAAAGAACUGUUUAUGCUAAGCUGUUUAGACUUUAUCAGCUAACUGUUUAGUUUUGAGCUUUUCUUUAAUGCACUUUUCAGUUAACAAGUCAACAUCAAUUUCUUUUGCUGUAAAAAAGCUUGAGGAAGGUGGCUUGAGAUUCGUCUUAAGUGUUUAUAGCCUCUUGCCUAUGCAGUCGGAGAGAUUGAGGUCUGCAGCGUAGAUCCUUCGGGGCUAAAUGCAUUUGUGCUAAGUUAUAGCAUUUUAUAGACAACUUGUUGACUAUGAUUUGUCUUGUAGCUUACUCGCUUAUGUUAUUUUACCUACGCUUAGGAUGUUGACAGCAGUAUAGACUGU